ACGAACGCUGGCGGCGUGCCUAAUCCAUGCAAGUAGAACGCUGAAGGAGGAGCUUGCUCUUCUGGAUGAGUUGCGAACGGGUGAGUAACGCGUAGGUAACCUGCCUGGUAGCGGGGGAUAACUAUUGGAAACGAUAGCUAAUACCGCAUAACAGUAGAUGUUGCAUGACAUUUGCUUAAAAGGUGCAAUUGCAUCACUACCAGAUGGACCUGCGUUGUAUUAGCUAGUUGGUGGGGUAACGGCUCACCAAGGCGACGAUACAUAGCCGACCUGAGAGGGUGAUCGGCCACACUGGGACUGAGACACGGCCCAGACGCCUACGGGAGGCAGCAGUAGGGAAUCGUCGGCAAUGGACGGAAGUCUGACCGAGCAACGCCGAGUGAGUGAAGAAGGUUUUCGGAUCGUAAAGCUCUGUUGUAAGAGAAGAACGAGUGUGAGAGUGGAAAGUUCACACUGUGACGGUAUCUUACCAGAAAGGGACGGCUAACUACGUG
rnacentral:rRNA from 1 species